AACGAACGCUGGCGGCAUGCCUAACACAUGCAAGUCGAACGAGACCUUCGGGUCUAGUGGCGCACGGGUGCGUAACGCGUGGGAACCUGCCCUUAGGUUCGGAAUAACUCCCCGAAAGGGGUGCUAAUACCGGAUAAUGUCUUCGGCCCAAAGAUUUAUCGCCCUUGGAUGGGCCCGCGUUGGAUUAGCUAGUUGGUAGGGUAAAAGCCUACCAAGGCGACGAUCCAUAGCUGGUCUGAGAGGAUGAUCAGCCACACUGGGACUGAGACACGGCCCAGACUCCUCCGGGAGGCAGCAGUGGGGAAUAUUGGACAAUGGGCGAAAGCCUGAUCCAGCAAGGCCGCGUGAGUGAUGAAGGCCUUAGGGUUGUAAAGCUCUUUUACCCGGGAUGAUAAUGGCAGUACCGGGAGAAUAAGCUCCGGCUAACUCCGUG
rnacentral:rRNA from 1 species